rnacentral:lncRNA from 10 species
ACUCCACCAGCCGGCCCCGCGGGACGGUUACUCUGUUCCUGAGAUUGUCUGUGGGGUCAGAAACAGCUCUGGAGGGGUCUGCAGAAAUUACUUUCCCAAGUCUUUGGGCUGGAAGGAACGAACAGUGCCUGACCAAGGACUUUGAGCAGGAGAGAGAUGGGAGCAGAGAGGAGCCAAGGUCUACUAUUUUCACUUCUGUCAAUUAGAUCAAAGCCCUGCCCAGAAGCUUUGAGCGCCGCUGUCAAGUCCCAUUCCUCCCCUAAACCAUCCAGGUUCCAUCUGCCUUGAAGCCAAAGGAUCUUCUUAGAUUCCUCAAGAAAAAUUCAGGCCCCGAGUUUCUCCACCAGCACUCUCCUCUCCCCGAAGGAGUGGGUGGGCUGCAUUUCUCUUCAUAUUCUAUUCCAUUCCAGACCGUCUUGGACUACCAGCCUGUCCGCCACCCCUCGGGGCCCUCCCUCCUACUCUGCCCUUGCCCGCUGAGGUCCCAAGCUGAGGAGAUGAGCCGAGCAGUAAAAAGAGAGGAGGUUUGGAAAAGCAAUGUCCUCUCAGUCUUUAAUAGGUGGCCCCCCUGGGAACCUGCUGGAAGUGGAAGUUAAUAAGCUGAAGGUGGUCACAACCAAUCUCUGCCACACUCGCACCCUACCCCACCCCAAAUCAUUCCUUUUAAUUAAUAGUGGAAGACCUUUUUAAAAAUGUAACAUGAAUUGGCUAUUUCUUGAGGCAAACAAAAGGUGGCUCUGAAGCGAUAUAUUUGUACUCGUAUAAAUUCAUUAAAAUAGAAAGCUUAUAACCAUCCAGGUUUCACUGACAGCCCCAGUCCAUCUACAUGCAGAAAUGGUCCCUCCAAAGCCCUCUACGACAAUUAUUCUCACAGAUCGUCAUGAUAAACUGUAAGGGAAUAUACUAAGAAAGAGGGAAGAAGAGAGGAGGAGUCCAUUUUUAAUUAGUGGUUGGAAAUAGAGUAAAAAUUAGAGGGCCUUAGGUUUAAAACACAGAUGUGCAUUGUGAUCGUCUGAAGGAAGAGCUGUUGACAGAGAAAACAAGGUGGUGAACUAUGCCCUUGGCCUGUGACAGUUAGGUGAGGGUUGCUCACCGCAGAAGACAGACCGGUAGAGCCCAGCAGGAAAGAGGGUAUCAGGCUGGAAGAAGUGCAGUUUGGCCCUGGCGGAGUGGUGGAGUGGCUGGAGCGACUGCAGGAGGAGGAUAGAUCUGGAAGCAGGUCUGGGCUAUACUUUGGCCUCAGCCAGGGAGCCAGAGAAGGAAGGCUUGGGUUCGAGGGGGGAAAUCAUUCUCCCAAAUUGCUUUCUCAGAAGCGCCAAUUCAGAUCACCUGAAGACAGGGUCUGGGCCCCAUUACAGCAUGGUUCCCAAAUGGGAGUGUGCUUGGAAGCCUUGGUGAUUAAAGGGUGCUGACUAAAAGAGUCAAACUCUGUAAAAUAUUUGAAGAGAUUUAUUCUGAGCCAAAUAUGAGUGACCAUGGCCCAUGACACAGCCCUCAGGAGACCCUGAGAACAUGUGUUCAAGGUGGUCGGGGUACAGCUUGGUUUUAUAUGUUUUAGGAAGGCAUGAGACUCAAUCAAAGACAUUUUAAAAAUACAUUGGUUUGGUUCAGAAAGGUGAGACAACUCAAAGUGGGGGCUUCCAGGCUAUAGGUAAAUUUAAACAUUUUCUGACUGACAAUUGGUUGGGUUUAUCUGGAGACCUGGGAUUAAUGGAAAGGAAGGUUCAUGUUAAGAUACAGAACUGUGGGGACCAAGUUUUAUUGUGCAGAGGAAUCUCUCAGAUAGCAGACUUCAGAGAGAGAGAGAGCAGGUUGUAAAAUGUUUCUUAUCGGACCUAAAAGGGUACCUGGCUCUUAGUUGAUUAUCUCCUGGAUCUGGGAAGGAAGGAAGGAAAACAAAGGGGAAAGGAAAUAUUUCCUAUAGAAUAUGGAUUUUUCCCACAAGAGACUUUGCAGGACAAUUUCGAGAUAUGGCAAGGAGAUUUAUUUUGGGGUAAAACAUUUUGAUUUUCUUCCUUGUUAUGCCACAGUCAGAUUGGAAAGUCAGUCAUGAUAUACAGGGUCAGAUAAAAUCCGUCUGAUGAGAAUGUAUGGUUGGUAGGGCAUGACUCCCCAGACCCCUUAGAUAGGAAUCUGGGCAAGAUAAAAAAUCGGAGCUUAGUCCUCAAGGGAAGGGGCAGCAGCGCUGUUGGCGGGCUCACCAAGCAUCAGUACUGGAUCACCAGGCUUGGGAGAGUAGGGGUGUCAAGGCCCCAAGAGCAGGGAGGGCCUUGGCCCCACUAGGGGGGCAUCAGAAAGCAGGGAGCACUUGUAGUUCACCAUGAUUCCCCUCAAAGCCCUGGGCCAGCCUCCUGCAGGGAAGGCGGGCAGGAAGUCUUCCCCAUAGGGGCAGGCUUGCUUUUUUGGCCAGCCAUCCUCUUCAUAUGAAAAACAGCAUCUUGUCAUUUCUAGAUGUUUCUACUUUGGUUGACUCUUUAAUUUUUCUGCAGUUAAAAGCCUUAAAACAGCAAGGAAGCAGGGGACAGGAGGGGAGCCCAGAUCUCUCCCAAAGAAAAGGAGAAAGACUGAAUCCUUGAGGCCUGCCGUACAAAGGAGUGGUGGGUUGGAGGAGGGUAGGCAGAGACUAGGGUGGUCUGGGACUUUAAGUACAAGGCCCCGUGGAUUUCAUUGGGGGGCAAGCCAUGUGCAACAGGGAAGCUCAGGAACCGGGGGGUUUCGCACAGAGGUCUGGUGCUGUGAGGUACAGGGAAAGAAUUAGUGGAUCUGGACCAGUGGAACAUUGGUUUAGUGUAAUCUCUGAUUUGUGUUGAGUGAAUUUGAGUAUAGUCCAACCACCACCCCCCUACCCCAACUAAACCAUGUGCCCCUCAGGAGCUGGGACUCUUCUAUUUUCUAUUCCUUAUAGCAGGCUCAGUGCCUGACACACUACGUUGAAUUUUAUUUUAAACAUUUCAUUUACAUUAAAUGGUAUAUUUGCAAGUUC